rnacentral:rRNA from 1 species
UACGAAGGGGGCGAGCGUUGUUCGGAAUUAUUGGGCGUAAAGGGAGCGUAGGCGGUUCGAUAAGUCACUUGUGAAAUCUCUGGGCUCAACUCAGAGUCUGCAAGCGAAACUGUCGGGCUUGAGUAUGGGAGAGGUGAGUGGAAUUCCUGGUGUAGCGGUGAAAUUCGUAGAUAUUCGCAAGAACACCAGUGGCGAAGGCGGCUCACUGGCCCGAUACUGACGCUGAUGCACGAAAGCGUGGGGAGCAAACAGG